rnacentral:rRNA from 1 species
AUUGAACGCUGGCGGCAGGCCUAACACAUGCAAGUCGAGCGAGCGGCGGACGGGUGAGUAAUGUCUGGGAAACUGCCUGCUGGAGGGGGAUAACUACUGGAAACGGUAGCCAAUACCGCAUACCAUCAGAUGUGCCCAGAUGGGAUUAGCUAGUGGGUGGGGUAACGGCCAACCUAGGCGACGAUCCCUAGCUGGCCUGAGAGGAUGACCAGCCACACUGGAACUGAGACACGGUCCAGACUCCUAGGGGAGGCAGCAGUGGGGAAUAUUGCACAAUGGGGGCAAGCCUGAUGCAGCCAUGCCGCGUGUGUGAAGAAGGCCUUCGGGUUGUAAAGCACUUUCAGCGGGAAGGCGUUACCCGCAGAAGAAGCACCGGCUAACUACGUGCCAGCAGCCGCGGUAAUUC